UUGGAAAUGAAUAUAUUCAUGUUUUCUUUAUAAAGUUCGGUAAACGUCUUGGUUUAUUUUGAAUUAUUGUUGCCUCAGUCGUUAGUUGGGAUGGCCCUAAGCUGGUGGUAACAGCUUCUUUCCAUGAGGGAGGUACGCGAGAUUCCAAGAAUGAACAGUUAAUAAUUAACAAUUAUUGAAUGAGGUUGAGCACAUGAAGAAUUUAUCAAGUCCGAGGUUUGCCGUUAUCAACCGAAGCCGAAGGCUGAGGUUGAUAACGGCAAACUGAGGGUUUGGUAAUUCUUCAUAUUGUGCGAAAACCGAAUCAAUAAUUGUUUUAUUAUUUAUUUAAAAAAUUCAAAACAAACGGUCAUCUAUUUGUUCACCCAUGCCACGUUAUAAAUCAGGAAAAGAAUUAGGAAACUGAGUGUUCUUAUACCUAUUCUAGAAGCUUUUUCUGAUCUUUUUGUAUUUAACAAAUCUUUAUCUUCCUGUAAUUUUUGAAUUUCGGCUUCGCCAAGGUUUGCAAACCUUUCAGUGGAAGGAGCCAUUUGUAUUUUAUUUGUAUGAAGACUAAAAAAACAAUUCCGUAGUCUUUCGGCAGCUGUUGUUGUUAUAAUAUCAAUGACGUCAGUGAGUCAAUAUGAUCAAUAUGAUUCUCGUUGUCAUAGUAAUAUGGCGCAAAUGCAUCCAAAUUUUUUUCAUAUCGACUCUUUGACGUCAUUUUGCUAUUAUGAAUGUGAAAAAUCCGUAUUUGGUUAGUCAUUGAGUUGAUAUGACAAUUUCACAGUUCGCUGUUAGCCAAUCAGAAACCAGGAAUUUUUUAAAUAAAUAAUAAUCGACAUUACUGGUCUUGCAAGAAUGUCGGCAUUCUCUUUUAAAAGCCAGCAGGGAAUACCAUCUAGCCCAGUCGCUUUGUUUUGGAUUUAGUGCUAGCAACUUCUGAAAAACUGAUUGCUCUGUGAUGGUAAAUGGGGAUUCAUUGUCAGUAGCAAGACGGGCAUUGGGAGAUAAAGGAGAAAAGUCACUCGUUGA